GACGAACGCUGGCGGCGUGCCUAAUACAUGCAAGUCGAACGCAUUUUCUUUCACCGGAGCUUGCUACACCGAAAGAAAAUGAGUGGCUGACGGGUGAGUAACACGUAGGUAACCUGCCCAGCAGCGAUGGAUAACACUGUUAAACAGGUGCUAAUACCUCAUAAUUGCAUUUACCGGAUUGGAAAUGGAUGAAAGGCGCGUUAGAGGCACUGAUGGAUGGACCCGCGUUGCAGUAGCGAGUGGAUGGGGUGACUGCCUAACAAGGCUGCGAUGCAUAGCCGACCUGAGAGGGUGAUACGCAAAACUGGGACUGAGACACGGCCCACACUCCUACGGGAGGCAGCAGUAGGGAAUUCUCGGCAAUGGACGCAAGUCUGAACGAGCAACGCCGGGUGAGUGAAGAAGGUUUUCGGAUCGUAAAACUCUGUUGUUAGAGAAGAACAAGGAUGAGAGUGGAAAGUUCAUACCUUGACGGUAUCGAACCAGAAAGCCACGGCUAACUACGU
rnacentral:rRNA from 1 species